UCAUCAUUCAUAUUAUUUUGCCGGAUAAAUUAUUGCUAUAUCCAUUUCAUUCUCGCAUAACGUAAUGCGUACUGGAAAGAAAAGGCUAGCCAGUAGUAUAAUGAAGCAUAGAUUGAGAGAUCACUUUUAAAGUUUUGACUUUUGAAUCAUGUCAAAAGUUCAAAACUUUGUUUUACGACUUCGAGUUUCUCAGUUCGAGUUGGCGAUUCCUAGUUUUUGUGAUUUUUAUUUUGUGACCUGGACUGAAAUUGGACUUCGAUUGGGCUUUCUUUCUUGAUUUACUUUGGCUACGUAUCUGGACUCCGACACUGCUGAUUUUCUUAUCGACCUUUGGCGUACCCGUACCGGAAUUUGACCUCAGCUCGCACGAAGACCUGGCUUGUGAAAAGGAUUUCAGACAAAAUGCCUCCGAAUAAGUGCUCCUAUUUUAGGUGUACAAAUACUUCAGAUAAGAAGUCAAUGUUCCGUUUCCCUUGGAAAGAUCCAGAUCGCUUAGAAGUAUGGUUAAAUAACUGUGGUAAUAUGACAAUAACACAUUUGCCUCGAGAGAAAUUGCGGUCAAGAUACAUAUGUAUUGACCAUUUCCAAAAUAAAUAUAUACGGAGUGCGACUAAUGUGAGAAAAACACUCCGAAGACAAGCAAUACCAGAACCGUAUCAGAAUCCGGAAGUUGAUACAACAUCUCAGAAUCAUUCUCCAUCUCACUUGCCAGGUUCAUCUAGUUCACCUGCAAGUUUAAAAGUUUUAACACCACAAAGGGUUUAUGUAAAUAAAAAGAGGAUUCUUGCAGAAACCCACAAAUCAGACACUGAGGCGGAGAAUGAAGAACAGCUGUAUUCGACCACACCCAAAAAAAGAAAAAUAGUAGAUACACCGAAGUGUAAAAAACUGAAAACACUUUUAGUAAAAAGUAAUAAGUCAUUAAAACGGCAAAUAAUUAAAAACAAAAGUUUAAAAAAUAAAAAUUUCAUUGAUUUAUCCAAACAUACUUUUAAAAGCGAAUCAAGUAAAUUAAUAACUAAUUACAACUAAGGUUAAAACAAAAACAAUUUACGCAAGAAGAAAAAAAAUUCUGCAUGUCCUUAUAUUAUAAGUCGCCCGCUGCUUACAAAUUUAUGGUAAAAUCAGGCAUAGUUUUGGCUGCUCCAUCUACAAUUCAACGAUGGUUACAAGAAACCAAUUGCUUGCCAGGAAUAAAUAGCGAAAUAUUUGAAAAUAUUAAAAAUAAAUUUUCUGAUAAAUCAAUUAAGGAAAGGGCAUGUGCGGUGUGUUUUGACGAAAUGAGCAUUAUGAUUAAUUUAGAAUACACAAAUAAAUAUGAUUUAAUAGAGGGAUUUGAAGAUUUUGGUGGUGGGGAUAGAAUUAACAAUGAAGCCAAAUAUGCACUUGUAUUUGUUGCCAGGGGAAUCUACACAAAUUGGAAGAUCCCCAUAGCAUAUUUUUUAUCGCAGAAAAACGUGCAUGCUGAUAAAUUAAAAAUGAUUUUAGAAUCUGUAAUCGACAAAUUAUUUGAAUGUGGCUUGUUACCAAAAGUAACCGUUUGUGAUCAAGCUACAACGAAUGUUAAAUUGAUCAAAAAUUUGGGUGCUAGUGUUGAUUCUCCUUUUUAUUUUAUAAAUGGACAUAAAAUGUAUGCAAUUUUUGACACACCUCAUUUGAUUAAAAAUAUCCGGAAUAAUUUACUUCAGCAUGAUUUUGAUUUAAAUGGUGAUCAAAUUUCAUUCAAUGAUAUUUUGCAUGUGUACAAUAUUGAUAAAAUGAAUAAAAGUAAAUGUUUAAGAAAAAUAACGCCAGUGCACAUAAAUCCAAAUAGCUUUCAAAAAAUGAAAGUAAAACUGGCCACACAAAUAUUAAGUAACUCUGUUGCUGGUGCAAUAAAAACAGCCAUAGAUAGCGGAGAGUUGAAGAGCACUACUGCAAAAAAUACAGCUGAUUUUGUACAAUUAUGUAAUGAUUUAUUUGAUUGUCUUAAUUCAAAAAAUAAAUUUGAUUCGAAUCCACAUAGAUGUGCUAUAACAAAUAAUAAAAAUUCGAUUGUUAAUCAAACUCUAAUCAAAGGUAGGGAAAUGUUUAUGAAUAUAAAGAAAAUUACUAAAAAUCGUAAAAAUGAAAUACAAAUGACACGACCCCCAUGUUUCGACGGUAUGAUUCAGACGAUAAAUAGUGUUCUUCAACUCUCAACAGAAGAAUUUUCGGAUGGCACUGGCGUUAAAUU